rnacentral:telomerase_RNA from 1 species
CAAUAACGGGGGUGUGGGGACUGGGAGUGGCCUCGGUCCUUUCAAACCCUAAACUAUCCUCUGUUUAGGAAUACAACAUCAGUUGGGGUCUUUCUCUGGUGUUUCCCCCGUGUGGUCAAAAUAAGAAACAUCAAUGCCCGACGAGUGUCCACUCCCAAGUGGCCAAUUGUCCGCCGCAAGAGGAAUUAAGCCAGGCCGGGCUGGGUGCGGUAACUCGUGCUUAACAGCUAUCAGGUCCUCGCCUCUUGGCCACCCCCAAAAUAAUUUU